rnacentral:rRNA from 1 species
AUCUACAGCCAUACCACCCUGAACGCGCCUGAUCUCGUCUGAUCUCGGAAGCUAAGCAGGGUCAGGCCUGGUUAGAACUUGAAUGGGAAACCAUUCUCCAUUUUCAAGAUUCUUUUUAAU